rnacentral:lncRNA from 1 species
UUCCUGUUAUAUUGUUAGUUUCAUUUUGCAGUUGGAUAAAUAGGGUUAGAGAAUAGGAGGCUUUUCCAGAGUUAAGCAGCUAGAGAUAACAUCAUAAAUAUAGAAGAAAGUGGCUUCUGAAAGGUGUGUUAAAUGUGUAAAAGCUUACUUCCCUUCUCCCAUAAAAGAAGUUGGCGUAAAGGCAGUCUAGGCUUGGCAUGGUGUUUCCGAGACCAUGCUUCAAUCUUUCUCCUCCAGAAUCAUCAGACCAGUUUCUAACCUCAAGUUUACUGCAUGGUCCUACGAUGUCUGCUGGAAAGCCUGUCAUCACAUUCACAUUCCAGGCAGACAGCAGGCGCAAGUGGAUGAGGACAAAGAUCAUUUAUUCCCUCCCCUUUAAGACCCUCCUGAAAGUCAGUCACACAUGACUUUUCCCACUUCAUUGGCCAAAACUUUAUCUCUUGACCACUCCUGGCUAUAAAGCAGCUGGCAAUGCCAUCAUUUCAGGGGUUUAUAUGUGCUGUUCUAAAUACUGGGGUCUGUUCUUACGAGCAGAAAAGAAUGAGAGAAUGGAUAUUGGGAAGCAAGAGCAGCCUCUGCUCCAGCUAGAGAGGGGCAGAAAGACCCUGGUGUAUCCUCAGACUGCUGUACCCUAUGCCUGCUCACAGGACAGACAAGAGCCUUUUAAGGGUGAAGACAGGACUAGACCCCAGCCUCCUGGUCACAUGACUCAGAGAUCUCCCAUAUCCUUUUACCUUCUGUUGCAUGGAGUGGAAUGGGUCGGAGUUUGAGAUGUGGAUCUUUGUGUUAGUCUGAGACUUUUUCUGUGUGGGAGAGAUUGUAUCCUACACACAGUCUAGAAGACAUUGGGGAGGCCCUGAAGCAAUUACUAUUGCUAGAAAUAAAGUGUAGAGACAGAAGUGGGGAUGGGAUGGUACUAGAGAGUUAGGCACAAGUCGAGUGAUGAGAGGUUGAGUCUGGUCUGCACAGGAUCCUAAUAGAUCUUAACAGGCUGCAGCAAUGGUCUAAGCAUAAUGAGGCAAAACUGAAACUGAACAGGAACAGAACAUGUUACACCCGAGUCCAAAAGAAAACUAACAAGAUGCACUGAUGUGACUUAGUAUCUUCAGGAUAAAAAUGACAGAAGCACUUCAGUAAUAUCAGCCAUAAUGUGUAAGGGAGUUAUUUUGAUCUCAGCCUGCAGGAGCAGAGAAUUUCAACGAGGUGAGAGGCAUGCUUUGCCAUGCACAGGCUAGACCACACUUGUCAUGCUGCAUGUAGUUCUGAAAAGGACAGACCAAAGUUUUAAAAGGAGAGAAGCCAGGAUGGGAUUGAAGAAUCCUCAGGUUGUAUAUUUAACAUUUUUAUCAGUCACUUAGGUCACGCCUGCUUACCAAAUUUGUGGAUUACUCUAAUCUGACAGAGGUGGUAGAUACAGUGACAGGCAGAAUCAGUCAAAUAGAACAAUGAGCCAAUGCCAGGCUAUGAAAUUGAAAACAGAUCAAGGUAUCUCACCCCCAAAAAUGAUAAGUAUGUGAAGUAAUGCAUAUGUUAAUUAGCACUAUUUAGCCAUUUCAGAAAGCCUGCUUAUUUCAAACAACAUGCUGUACACAAUAAAUAUAUAUAAGAUCUGUGUCAACUAAAGAAUUAAAAUUAAAAUUAAAAGUCAAAGAAAAAAAAAGAAAAAAGUUUGGAAGAGCAAUCCAUUGUUCAAGAAAGGGAUGAGAGAGACCUGGUACAAUGGCUGUUCUAACAAAUCAGCACUUUAGUGGGCAGCAGGGCUCAUCAAAGUACCAGUGUGUCUGUGUGUGUCCCAGGCUGGUGGAUGGUGGGCUUCCAAGGAGCCUCCAGGCAGCACUGAUAUUCAUGACUUCACCCAAGCCAGGAUUUUGACCUUGGCUUUGUGGGUUUAGAUUUUCAAAGUGUUUGAGUUUCCUGGACUUGGGGAGGCUGACUCUCACUAACAAUGCUUUUAGGAGACUGCAGAUGCCGAAAGUAUUGAUUUUCAGCAUGAAUUCUACUUGUUAGGUACCUUAAACCUGAUCAGCAUACAUAUGGUUCUUCUUCCAUGUAAGAAAACCACAUGAGGAACCAAAUAAUACCUCUAAGGAGUUUUGAGGAGGAUGGAACUGAAAAGAGGGAUGUGAGUAGUGUGACUCGAAUGCUGUUAGAAGAGUCUGAUGUGUCCUUCUUCCUCAGGUGAAAGUUCUCAGACUGAAAACAUCUAGAUAACCUCUAGCUAUGCUAAGCCACAGGCACUUUUAUAGGCCUAGAACCUAUUUCGUGUCUUUAAGGUGACUUGACAGAGUGUGGUUUUGUCCUCUUAUUUUUUGACAUAUUCUGCAACUCAGGAAACAGUCUUGUUUCCCUUUCUCUAUAGCACUCGAGGUGCAUCAGUCUGCUCCUCCCUUUGCCUCAAGGUCCCACAGUGGCAAGGGGAGAGGAGACCAGUCUGGGGGGUCUGCUUAUUAAGCCUUCAUUGCUGUCUACCCCAAGAAAACUCAGAGUCACUGUCUCCUAGGCACUUCUCAGGUAGAAAGAAAUCUUUCCUUACCCUCCAAAUCUGCUAUCCUUCAGGGAUGGAUUCUCGGGUACCUUCGACCAGCUCCCUGCUCUGUUCCAGCUUCCUGGGCAUAAAGGCAAAUAAUCCCAACGUGUUUGGCUUUGACUUUUUCUCAUGGCCUCCUUUCCCAGUGGGUGGCCAUAUAUAUUCAUUCACAUGUCCAAGGGGAUUCCUCCUUCCAUCCCCCGUUUAUUGAUGUUCUUGUCACAUCUCCCUUAGGAGCUUGUUGUGUCAGUCAAGGUCCCAGCAAGAAACAGAUGGCACACUUACACUUGGAUAAUGUGAAAUGAAUUUAAUAAAGGACUACUUACAAAGCUGGGAGCAGGGCUUAGGGAAACCACGAAGAAUAGUCAAAUGCCAGAGGACUAUGAAAUCUAGGUGCUAUUGUAGGCCUGAAAGAGUGGAGAGAGGGGAAAGAGAGCCAGAAGACUGCGGGGGCUAUGCGGAAGAAACAUAGGAUUCCUGGCUUUCAACAGAACUGGCCCAUGGAAACCCCACGGCAAUAGUAAUAAAUGCCACACCCUCACUCACUUCUCUCCUUCCAAUCUCCUGCUGAUGCACAACACUGGCCAUGUGCAGUUGGUAGUCAGUGGUCAAGGGAGCCCAAGAGUGUGGUUCAGGUUCAGCUUCCCCAGGGAAUAGCAGGGUGGACAAAGAUAGAGAGUGGAUUUGGAUAGGCAAAUAGAAUAAUCCAGUAAAAACACUGAAGGCUAGACUUUGUUGUUAAUACCUGUAUUUUUUGGUUUCCCAUCCCACACAUAGUAGGUUUGCAGCAGUUGACUUGGCCAUGGAUUUCUUUGGGUAAGGAGAUGAUCUUUGAUCCCUGUAUUCCAGGGCCUAUCCCAGUACCCCCAAAAGAUGCUCCAUAAAUGUUUAUGAAAUGACUAGUGAAUGAAUGAAUGAAUAAAUGAAGUGAGCUCAGUGGGAAUUUUCCCUUAAUUUUGCUCACUGUUUCACUCCUUGGAAGUAGCCACUUCUCUGCUUCACUUGUAGGCCAGAUCCAGUUAUUAAAUUUCUAAAUUAUCCUUCUGUCUAUGGGGCUGACUCUCUAAUGAGGUCUUGUAAGUCUUUGCUUCCAUCCUCGGAGUCCAGACAAGGAGCUCUUGCCUCAGGCACAGCCUCUGUUCUCUGGGAUGUCUCACCUUUUUAGCAGGGAAGCGUUCUGUGCCAGAUGCUUAACUUGUGUCCUCCUACCAGGGAGAUUCCAUGAGGAACCUUCUCUGUUCACUUUAGGCAGAUUGGAUUGGCUUCUCCUUGCUGUACUUCUAGCUAGAUUAACUGUUAAACAAAUAUCUAUUACUUAUCUGUCAUAUUCUAGGCACUGUGCUAGGACAUGAGAAUGUUCAAGUGGGUAAGAUACAGUUUGACAUAAGGGACAAAGUGCUGCAGUCCAGAAGGAGAGAAGACAAAUAAUAAAUAAUUAUUUUACAGGGUAAUACAUGCUAUGUUAUUAUGUUAUUAUUCUAUAAUAAUUAUGGGAGCACAAUGGGUGAGGAGGGCACUGUGGGAGCCUGGGUGAGGAGCGCCAACCCACCCGGAGGCGCAAGGAAAGCUUUCUGGAGGAGUUAACACCUGAUCUUGUAGGAUGGGAAAGAGCAAGAUAUUAAAGAUAAGUGAUUCCAAGUCAAGUGGUGAGCAAGAUCAAAAUGACAGACACUUGACAUAGCAUGAUGUGUGCAAGGAAACAUGAACUAAUCUGUAUUAUUAGUGAUAACAGUUGAGGAAUGGGGGGUGAGAGGCAGAUGGAGGGGCAGGCAGGGUUUAGGGUGUGGAAGGCAUGGUAAGCUGAGCUAGGGACUUUGUAGGACAUUAACUAGAGUGAGGUGAAUAAGGCCUAUUUUAGGCACAAAAUGUAAAAGGGCUUCAAGGUCUCAGUAACUAGGAUAAGUAAUAUUAAAUGCAAUAUUUUAAACAAAAUUAAUGCAAAAACCCACAGUGAAAAAAAAAUAAAAUUUUAAGAUAAAUAGUAUUGAGUGAAUUCUUAUAAUUUCAUGUUGCUUCAGUAUCCAUUUUGAAUAUAACUUUAACUUUCUCAUACCAGAAGCAGGCUUAGUCACCCUUGGUGCAGUAUCCAGUUUUACAACUCCUCCUAGUUCCUUAAGGUGGUCAGUUCAGCUCUCUGGCUUAUAUAACUCGUGAUAGUUACCUCUCCAUGAGACAGCCAGAUACAACUGACCUAAUUAGCCCCACUGACCUCCACACCCCACAUGGACUGUGCAGGUGUGCCACAGUGGCCACCUCUUAGUCACAGCGUGACCCCCAUGAAACUAAUGCCUGCUUGUACCACCAGUUAGACCUCCCCACAGGAAACCUGCUUGAGUAACUCCCAGGACCCAAUAAAGAAUUUGGCUUACAGGUCCCCUUCUCUCUCUCUUGCUCCCCACCUGCUGGCUGAAUGCACGUGUCCUCAGUGGCUUCCCCCUUUCCAGUGACCCUGGGAGGCAUACUGCCCCCUGCACUGUGGAAUCUCUCAGCCACUUGGGUCUCCUUUGCCAAGGAGUGUCCUCCCUCUGGAACUCAAUACCAGCUCUUUCUUCUUCUGGAAUCUUCUCUCAGCUCUUUUAAGGACCCAUUCUCAUGAGAGGGAGCUUAGAGUUCUCCUGGCCCUUCAUUCUUCUCUUUGACAAGUAAUGCUCAGUUUCUUGCCUUCAGGUAAUCCUCAGUACAGUUUUCUAACCUUCCACAUAAGAAAAAAAUAUUCAAGGUUAAGUCUUGGGUUAGUAGGGGAGAGGCUUGUGUAGUUAGCAGUGUCUUCCUUGCAUGGGGGAAGGAGAGGUUGGGGCUCUGGGUGUCGUAUAUUUGCCUCCCUGCAGAGAUAUUCUCUUCCUCCUCUUCUUGAUACUCUGGUGACAUAUUCUCUUCUGCAUUGGUAUAUUCUCCAUAGUUCUUCCAUCUUUCCUGUCUUCCUUCUUAAGCAAGAAUCACCACACAUGAAACAAGAUAACAUCAAUAACCAUCGUUUAGACUAAUAGCUAACAUUUGUUAAGUAUUUCCCUGUUACUAGAACUGCAUGUUUGCAAUUAAUUCUCACACCAAUCCUCAAUUUAUCUCCCCUUUUUAUAAGUGAGAAAACUAAGGCUCAAGAGAGGCUAAGAAAUUUGCCCAAAGUCUCAUAGCUAGCAGAUGGCAAUGCUAGGAUUUGAAUCCAGGCAGUCUGACUCUAUUCUUUUAAUUACUACCCUGAUCUUUAUGAAACAAGACGUUCACUUUACAAUGAACGUUAUUGGGUUCUCAUACCACUAUUUCCAAGUUGGGAUGAUAAAGCCUAUUUUUCAGAUGAGAUCAAUAGCUUUAGCAAAGUUAUUUUGUCCAAAGAUCAACAAUAAGUAAGUAGAAGAACCAGCCGAAAUCCCUCCUCUUCAUCAUGCUGCCUUAAUUUAAUUCUUGCUUGUUGCAUUGCACUGAAUUGAAGUCCCAAGGUCCUCUGUCUCAAGCCAGAAAAUGAACUAUGAAUUGUGGAAUGCACCUGUUUCAUUGAUUUUCUCUUGCUCUUUCUUGUUUUUAUGACUUUGCGGGCCCUGUUGCUAUCACCCUUUCAUAGAAUGUGGUUCAACAGUGUCCUCUUGCAGCCCUGUCCCCUGCUUCUGCCCCCAAGCUACAGCCAGACCAAUCUACAUUUUAAAGUUGUCUCAAAGUAUAUUCAAAUCUCCAGAUUUGAAUAUACUUUCUAUUCAAAUAUUUGAAUAUACUUUCUAUUAUAGCCUUAAGCAGCAUUGGAUCUAAUUUUUAAAAGAUUUAUUGUUGCAAUUUGUGCUAAUAUCAUUAUAAAACUCAAGAUCUGAUUAAUUCAAAUGUAUUCAUUUAUUUUGGAUUAAUAUGCAUCCACUGACUAACCUCGGUAUUCAUUUAUACACAAGAUUAAAAACAGAUUAUUACUUCCAAACAACUACCUACAGCAGGCAGCUUAAGUAGAAUUGCCCAUUUCCAGUACAAGAAGGAUAGCUUGAGAAUUGUUUUUGCAAUCCUGAAAGAGUCAAGGAAAAGAGUAUCACAUCUGGUGUAUCAUUACAGCAGCAGGUCUUCAGUUUCUGACUCACACUAUCAUUGCUGUCUGCACUGCCUCUAGGCUCACUGACACUUUGUCAGCUUUAGUUUUCCAAUCUCUGGAGACACAAUGAGCACUCACUCAUAAAAUUAUUACUACAUGCCUGAUCCUGAGUUGGACUUAGGACUUUACAUAUGCUGAUUUAAUCUUUGCAGCACCCCUUGGAGACAGGUACUGAUAUUAUGCCAUUUUUCAGGGAUGGAGGGAACUGAGCAUCAGAGAGAUUAAGUAACUUGCCAAGGUCAACCUAAUAAGUGUCAGAGACAGGAUUUGAACCCCCAAAAAUCUAGCAUCUGAGUCCAUGCUCUUAACUACUCUGCUGUAUAACUUUAGGAUCUAUCAGAACUAUGCAAGAAUUAAAAGGAUCUUUGGAUUUUUGCUCAUCACAUUUCUUAUGCUAAUUGGUGGUCUAGACAUUCUUUACAUAUCAAGCACUUCCUAGGAAAUCUCAAGACAUCCAGUUCAAUUCUGGACAAAAGGCAGUUGCUCCAUAGAUAUAACUUUGAAAUCACUAUUGAUUAUUAUCUCUCCAUAAUGGAAUAUGGAGAAAGGAUAUUUUUAGGAUGAAGUUAUUGGAUUAAUACUCUAGAAUUUUACAGUUGAAAGAUGUGAGUUUGGCUUGUACUUCCUUCAAUUCUUAGUUCAGUCACUAUGCUCAUAAGUCCUGGGGAGCCUUAGUUUCCUGCUUGAUAAAGUGGUAGUUUUAUUUCCUUGUCUGACUUCUUUAGUCUGAGCCGUGAACUCCCAUAACACAUCUGCCCAAUACCAUGGUGCAGCUUCCUAGGCAGUUCAGGCCCUCAUUAGCCUGGACCUGAGGAGCUAAUCCACUGCAAUUUUCUCCAAGUGCUUCACUACUGAAAGAGAGUCCGGAAAGCAGGUCACCUGUUUUCAAUCUGUUAUAACUUUACAGGCAAAGGUAUUGGGUUGACCUUAACCACAAAAUACAAUUAAUGAGUUGAAGUACUAGUGGAAUGUUGGCCCUGAAAAAAACACCUUUCGUAUAUAUUUCCAAAAAGGCCUUUCUUAUCUAAGACCUCAAGUUUUAAAUAACAUUCCUAGGUCGACUUUUUAUAGCCUAAACAUAUCUGUUAGCUAUCUACUGUGUGAAAAACAUGUUGCCUCGUGGGAUAGGAAUGGCAGUAACAAUAAUAACCGUAUUAUAAAUUUGUAGAGCAGAUCUUUGUCAAAGUAUUUUUAAUGUACUGCAUCAUAUUGAAAGAGUGGUGAAAUGAGAGAUCAAGGUUGAAUUCAGGCUUUAUCAUGACUGACUGACUUUAGAUAAGUUUCUGUCCUUCUUUCUGCAUUAAA